CAAUGCUUUUUAUUCAAAUAGAUAGGAGGGCCUAGAAAGGGCUUAUACCAUGGUCGGGAGAUACAGGUCAUACACCACUGUCAGGCUGUACAGGUCAUACACCACUGUCAGGCUGUACAGGUCAUACACCACUGUCAGGCUGUACAGGUCGUAACCACUGUCAGGCUGUACAGGUCAUACAUCACUGUCAGGCUGUACAGGUCAUACACCACUGUCUGGAUCUGGCUGUACAGG